rnacentral:tRNA from 1 species
GAGGGUAUAGCCCAGUGGUAGUGUGCCUGCCUAGCAUGCACGAGGUCCUGGGUUCAAUCCCCAGUACUGCCA